GAAAAACUAAUGACUCACGGCUGCACAGUGAACCCAGUGAUUCUUUACAGCAGACAGUCGCUCCUCUCUCUUGCAGGUACUGUGUACCCCCGCUAAAUCGUUUAGGGGUACACAGUACCCGACCGUACCCCCCUACUUUCACCCCUGUGUUAAUGAUCACAA